rfam:Mycobacterium sp. GA-2829 GCID_NTM_00013_NODE_56.ctg_1, whole genome shotgun sequence.
CUCCAUGAUCUGCGGGCAGAUGAGGUGGACGUGGCAGUCGAUGGCGCCCGCGGUGAGGAUGCGGCCGUUCCCCGCGAUGACUUCCGUCGACGGCCCGACCACCAGGUCGGGGUGCACGCCGGACAUGAUGUCGGGGUUGCCUGCCUUGCCGAUCGCGACGAUGCGCCCGUCGCGAAUCCCGAUGUCGGCUUUGAUGAUUCCCCAGUGGUCGAGGAUGACCGCGCCGGUGAUGACGGUGUCGGGGGCGCCGUCGGCGCGGGUGGCGCGCGACUGCCCCAUCGAUUCGCGGAG